rnacentral:lncRNA from 1 species
AUGUUCCCAGUCUCCAGGGCAGACAAAACCACCAGGGACAUCGGUAGAAGCCACUUAGGAGGGCUUCUGGGACAGCCGUUUGUCUCCUUUUCUCCUUGCCUUCCCUCUGCUCCCUGCUUGAAGUGUGCCUGUGAUGGCCUGAGCCUUGCAGCAAUUUUAUGGCCUGAGGAUAGAAUUCAUACACUGAGGACAGCAGAGGAAAAAGAAAAAGCUUCAAGCACGGUGACUGUAGAGCUGCCGUUGCCUUUAGUCUUCAUUAAGGUGUGCAAAGGAAACCGGCCCAAUUCCCCAUGCUUCCAGACUCCCUGCCGCAGUCCAAGGUCCACACUUGUGCGUGUCAUCCUCUAAAGACUCUCAUCAGCAGUUUAGUAAAACCUGGGCAUGCGCCAAUUCUGCUCUGAAACCAGCUGGAUGAUACAGGACAAGCCAUGUGACCUCUCUAAGCGUCGAUUUCCUCACUGAUAAAGUGAGAAUGGUAAUGCCUUUCUCUAAUAAUUGUGCUUAGAAUGAAAUUAGUAUACGUAAAGUAGGUGACACAUAGAAAGCUCUUAAGGUAGCAAAAUGGGAUUAUCACCCCCAAUUAAAUGCUUAAUGGGAAUUAUGAAGAGAAUUAUUUUUAAACUUUUUUUCACGCAGGGCAGCUCUCCUUACAGGGCACACUCCCUGCGCAUGGGGCUCCCCUACAUAGGGGACACCCCUGCAUGGCACAGCACUCCCUGCACGCGUCAGCACUGCACCUGGGCCAGCUCAUCAGCCAGGUCAGGAGAACCUGGGUUUGAACCCUGGACCUCCCAUAUGGUAGGCAGAUGCUUUAGCUGUUUAGCCAAAUCUGCCUCCCUAUUUUUAAACUUUCAUGCAUAAAAAGAACUAAUUGGAGAGAUAUAUCAUACUCCUGAAUAGAAAGGUUUAAUAUGUAAAAUUGUUUCCUUCAAGUAACAUACGAUGCAGCCUCUGCCUGCCAGAUAAAUAAUUACUGCAUUUUAACUACCUUCAAAUAUUGGCGUCUAAUCAGAUUUUACCAUCCUGAUAAAACUUCUGUUAGGGUGAGAAUAUGUGAACAGGCUGUAACUAUCCUCAAAAAAAUUUUUUUGAUGUAUAAAUUUCAUACCAUAAAAUUCACCCAUUGUAAGUGUACAAUUCAAUUGUAUGAUUUUAGUAAAGUUGUAGUCAUACAACCAUCACUACGAUCCAGUUUUAGAAUAAACUCAUCAGAGUUUUAUUUUGACUCUCAUUCCCAGGAGAUCCACUUUCUGUCUCUCCUCCUCUGUCUUCUGAGCAUCUCCUAGGGUGGAACCCUAACCUAGGUCAUCUUUGCCCCUCGCCUCGUUCACUUAGCAUAAUGAUUUUGAGGUUCAUCCAUGUUUGUAACCAUUCUUUUAACUAUUCUCUUUAGUUAAAAAAAAAAAUGAGAAGAAUUAAAGGAUCCAGAGUAGGGGAACCACCUCUUAAAAAGCCUUAUUUUGGGAAAAUGCACACGAUAAUAAUAGCUAAUAUAAAUUGUACAUUUACUAGGUGCCAGGCACUGUUUUAUAGUUGUUUAAAGGUAUUAACUCCUUUAUCUUCAAGAUGUCCCUAUGAAUAUUUUUCUUUUAUUACCUCUAUUUUAUAGAGAAGGAAAUGGAAGUACAAUGAGAGAGGCUAAGUAAUUUGUCCAAAGUCAUAAUGCUAGUUAAUGUUGGAACUGGGAUUUGAACCGAAGAAGUCUGCUUUCAUAAUCAACACCAUUAAUUCCUAUGCCUGCAGAGUGGGGAGUGUUAAUCAAAUUAUUAGUAUUGCAUUUGAAACCUUUUCUUAAGAUUAGCUUUAGCAAUUAAAUGAGGUAAAGGAAAAUGGCAGUGAACUAUCUGGUACGGAGAACAUUAAAAAACACAUUUAAAAUCCUUUUUCCCUAGAGGAGAGUGAAUGGUAAAAAGUGUAACUACCAAUGUUAACUAAGCAAAGCCAUCAGAUAGGCUUAAUGUCACAAGUGACGUUACCAAGUGCAAGUCACAGUGACAGGCUGGGUUUUUGAGACAAUGUGAGCCUCUGUAGAAUGCAUGGAUUUAAUACUCUGAAUGUGUGGCGCUCCUAAUUACCUGGACAGGAAAAUGCCAGCCCCACAAAGAGAGAAGAUUCUCCUCCGAGGAGCUAAUGUUAUUAAAGAGCCUUUAAGUGUAUUUCUAUUAUGGUGUAUUUGGCAGCCAUGGAAGUAUACAUAAGUUAUGGAACAAGAAACAAAUAUCUGGAAACCACCCAACUAAACCAAGAAAUUAAUUCCCUUGAAACUCCAUGUGAGCUACUCCGCCAUACUACUCUACUGCCUGCCUGCUGCUCUCAAUUGGAUGUCACCAUUCCCUUGCUUUGUUAAAAACCAUAUAUACUAGUAAGUCUAAACAAAAUACUGUUUAAUUUUGCUAAAGUCUGACUUUAAAUGGUUCCUAAAUUUCUGAAACUUGCUUUAAAAAAAAUAGAAACUUAACAUUGUUUCUAAGAUUCCACUCUCAAGCCUGUGUCAAUAGUCUUGCAUUUUUUUACCUGUACUUCAACAGUGGGUAUUUGGAUUUCCAGCUUUUUGCUGACAUUAUCAGUGUUUCUAUAAACAUGCUUGUUUGUGUCCAGUGGUCUGUGAUUGCAUCACUUUCCUCUAGGGCAGUGGUUCUGAAGUUUAGCUAUACAUGUUAGAAUCAUAUAAAUAGGGAAGCAGACUUGGCCUAAUGGAUAGGGCGUCCAUCUACCUCAUGGGAGGUCCACAGUUCAAACCCCAGGCCUCCUUGACCCAUGUGGAGCUGGCCCACGCGCAGUGCUGAUGUGUACAAGGAGUGCCGUGCAAUGCAACCCCCGCGCAAGGAGUGCGCCCCAUAAGGAGAGCCACUCAGCACGAAAGAAAGUGCAGCCUGCCCAGGAAUGGUACCGCACACACGGAGAGCUGAUGCCGCAAGAUGACGCAACAAAGAGUGACAGAUUCCCGUGCCGCUGAUAACAACA